rnacentral:rRNA from 1 species
UACGUAGGGGGCAAGCGUUAUCCGGACUUACUGGGUGUAAAGGGGGCGCAGACGGCAGCGCAAGCCAGGAGUGAAAGCCCGGGGCCCAACCCCGGGACUGCUCUUGGAACUGCGCGGCUGGAGUGCAGGAGGGGCAGGCGGAAUUCCUGGUGUAGCGGUGAAAUGCGUAGAUAUCAGGAGGAACACCGGUGGCGAAGGCGGCCUGCUGGACUGCGACUGACGUUGAGGCCCGAAAGCGUGGGGAGCAAACAGG